CGUAACUGCUCGGCUACGGAUGAGCCUGCGUCCUAUCAGGUAGUUGGUGGGGUAAUAGCCUACCAAGCCAAUGACGGGUAGCUGGCCUCAUGAGGGUGGUCAGCCAGAGGGGGACUGAGACACGGNCCCCACUCCUACGGGGAGGCAGCAAUCAGGAAUAGUCGGCAAUGGGCGAAAGCCUGACCGCGCAAUACCGCGUGUAGGAAGACGCUCGAAAGAGUGUAAACUACUGUGGCGAGGGAAGAAGCCUGGCUUAGCCAGGUUGACGGUACCUCGCUAGAAAGGGGCCGCUAACUUCGUGCCAGAAGCGUCGGUAAUACGAGGGCCUCAAGCGUUAUCCGGUGUUAUUGGGCGUAAAGAGUCGUGUAGGCGGUUUCGUAAGUUAUCUUUUAAAGAUUCCGGCUCAACCGGAAGAAAGGAGGUAAUACUGCGAGACUCGAGUUUGCUCAAGGGAGAAUGGAACUAAAGGAGGAGUAGUGAAAUGCGUUGAUACCUUUAGGAACAUCAGUGGCGAAGGCGAUUCUCUGGGAGGAGACUGACGCUGAGACACGAAAGCUAGGGGAGCGAAGCAGAUUAGAGACCUGCGUAGUCCUAGCCGUAAACG
rnacentral:rRNA from 1 species